rnacentral:miRNA from 1 species
UAUCACAGACCGCUUGGAUCACA